GAUGAACGCCGGCGGCGUGCCUAAUACAUGCAAGUCGAGCGAACGGACGAGAAGCUUGCUUCUCUGAUGUUAGCGGCGGACGGGUGAGUAACACGUGGAUAACCUACCUAUAAGACUGGGAUAACUUCGGGAAACCGGAGCUAAUACCGGAUAAUAUUUUGAACCGCAUGGUUCAAAAGUGAAAGACGGUCUUGCUGUCACUUAUAGAUGGAUCCGCGCUGCAUUAGCUAGUUGGUAAGGUAACGGCUUACCAAGGCAACGAUGCAUAGCCGACCUGAGAGGGUGAUCGGCCACACUGGAACUGAGACACGGUCCAGACUCCUACGGGAGGCAGCAGUAGGGAAUCUUCCGCAAUGGGCGAAAGCCUGACGGAGCAACGCCGCGUGAGUGAUGAAGGUCUUCGGAUCGUAAAACUCCGUUAUUAGGGAAGAACAUAUGUGUAAGUAACUGUGCACAUCUUGACGGUACCUAAUCAGAAAGCCACGGCUAACUACGUG
rnacentral:rRNA from 1 species